CGUCAGAUACUCUUGAUAUACAUGCGUUUUGCGUUAGUAUAUACAUACAUAUAUAUGUAAGUAUAUGUAUCUGCCUUGCCUUUUGUAAUUUAACGUCUUACUCAAAUCUUCUCUCUACGAAAGAAGCGAACACAUGCUGUGCUUCUUCAGCUUCAUACAAAUAUCCAUAUCUGUAUGUUUGUUUAACGUGCAUUCGUGUGAUUUUCCAAGAUUUUUAUGUGUGAGCAUAUGUAUGUAUAAAUAUCCGCACCAACUAAUCGUAUUUGCAGUUUCUUUUUCGAUUAAGACGGAGCAGGCACAGAUUGAAGCAUCAUCAUUAUCAAGAAACUGAGUCGAGAAGACCUUUGGAAUAAUGUUGUCCGACGAAGCUGAAAAUAAAAAGAAAAAACAGACAAACAGGCGCAAAACCAAAAUCAAGGGAACGUUUUUUGGGCCUUUAUAGGUACAUAUAUACAUAUGUAAAAUGUAUAUAUGUAUAUGCGUGUAUAAAUUAACCUUAAUUUUUAUAUGUAUGUAUGUAUUGAGUUAAAAAUUUAUUGUUAAAUAGUUUUAACGCACGCAACUUUUUACAUACUUGUAGCAACUCUUCCUAAUAAACAAAAUUUGUUUUCAAAUA